rnacentral:rRNA from 1 species
AAAUAAUACAAUUAAAUUAUUUUAGUUUUAGUUAAUUGAUAAUUUUAAAUUUAAAUUAUAAAUUUAAUAAGUGAAAUUUUAAAUUUUAUUAAGAUUUAUGUUUGUUAAUGACUUAAGAAAUUUUAUUUAUAAACUAGGAUUAGAUACCCUAUUAUUAGAAAUGUAGUUUAAUAAGCUAAAUUAGUAUAAGAUAUAUUCUCGAAAAUUAAAGAUUUUGGCGGUAUUUUAGUCUAUUCAGAGGAACCUGUUCUAUAAUUGAUAGUCCACGAUUUAAUUUACUUAUUAUUUUAGUUUACAUAUCGUCGUAGUUUAAAUAUUUUAUUAGAAUUUUAAUAUUUAAGAUUUAUUAUAUUAAAAAAAAUCAGAUCAAGGUGUAGCUUAUUAAUAAGAAGAAAUGGGUUACUAUAAAAAAUUUAAUAUAAUUAUUUUUAAAGUAGUUUGUGUAUAGGAUUUGAAAGUAAUUUUAAUUAAUUAAUUAAAAUGAUUUUAGCUCUAAAAU